CAGCCGUAAACUAUGCGCGUUAGGUGUAUCGGUGACCACGAGUUACCGAGGUGCCGAAGGGAAACCGUGAAACGUGCCGCCUGGGAAGUACGGUCGCAAGGCUGAAACUUAAGGAAUUGGCGGGGGAGCACCACAACAGGUGGAGCCUGCGGUUUAAUUGGACUCAACGCCGGGAAGCUCACCGGAUAGGACAGCAGAAUGACUGCCGGGCUGAAGACCCUGCAUGACUAGCUGAGAGGAGGUGCAUGGCGUCAGUGACU
rnacentral:rRNA from 1 species